rnacentral:lncRNA from 1 species
CCUUUCACUUGAACCUUCACCGGCAUCAAAAUAUUGUGGAAACUGCAAGAUUGUUUGUUGUGUGGGUGAAAGUCCCACAUUGCAUGCUGUUCUCACUGCGUCAUCCAUCUUAUUGGCAUCAAACUCUUCUUCUUCGCUAGUUGAAUUUCCAUCAUUUUUGUCAUCAGCUCCACGUCCCACAUCCUUUAUCUCAUCAUUUUUCUCAUCCUUCUUCUCAUGCUUCUUCUCAUCAGUUUUAUCAUCCUUCUUC